AGAACGAACGCUGGCGGCAUGCUUAACACAUGCAAGUCGAACGGGAUCCAGGCCUUCGGGUCUGGUGAGAGUGGCGCACGGGUGAGUAACGCGUGGGAACCUGCCCAGUGGUAGGGGAUAACUGCGGGAAACUGCAGCUAAUACCCUAUGUGUCCUAUGGGAGAAAGAUUUAUCGCCAUUGGACGGGGCCCGCGUCGGAUUAGGUAGUUGGUGGGGUAAUGGCCCACCAACGCCUGCGAUCCGUAGCUGGUCU
rnacentral:rRNA from 1 species